GACUUAUUUACAAUGGCUGCCA
rnacentral:siRNA from 1 species